rnacentral:rRNA from 1 species
UUGCGCAUGGGCGCAAGCCUGACGCAGCGACGCCGCGUGGGGGAUGAAGGCCUUCGGGUCGUAAACCCCUUUCAGCAGGGACGAUAUUGACGGUACCUGCAGAAGAAGCGCCGGCCAACUACGUGCCAGCAGCCGCGGUAAUACGUAGGGCGCAAGCGUUGUCCGGAUUUAUUGGGCGUAAAGGGCUCGUAGGCGGUUUGGUAAGUCGGGUGUGAAAACUCCCGGCUCAACUCUGAGACGCCACUCGAUACUGCCAUGACUAGAGUCCGGUAGAGGAGUGUAGAAUUCCUGGUGUAGCGGUGAAAUGCGCAGAUAUCAGGAGGAAUACCGAUGGCGAAGGCAGCUCUCUGGGCCGGUACUGACGCUGAGGAGCGAAAGCGUGGGGAGCAAACAGGAUUAGAUACCCUGGUAGUCCACGCCGUAAACGUUGGGCACUAGGUGUGGGUCCCAUCCAACGGGAUCCGUGCCGUAGCUAACGCAUUAAGUGCCCCGCCUGGGGAGUACGGCCGCAAGGCUAAAACUCAAAGGGAUUG